rnacentral:tRNA from 1 species
GGCCCCGUAGCUCAGCUGGUAGAGCACGCGCACAAAGCGUAGGCGGCGUCCAUGCGUGGGUUCGAUUCCCACCGAGGCUA